rnacentral:rRNA from 1 species
CAAUAGCGUAUAUUUAAGUUGUUGCAGUUAAAAAGCUCGUAGUCGGAUUUUGGCUGAGAACGAUCGGUCCGCCGUUAGGUGUGCACUGAUUGGUCUCAGCUUCCUGGUGAGGAGGUGUGCUUCACGGCCACUUAGUCACCGUGGUUACUUUGAAAAAAUUAGAGUGUUCAAAGCGGGCUUACGCUUGAAUAUAUUAGCAUGGAAUAACACCAUAGGACUCCUGUCCUAUUUCGUUGGUCACGGGACGGGAGUAAUGAUUAAGAGGAACAGUUGGGGGCAUUCGCAUUUCAUUGUCAGAGGUGAAAUUCUUGGAUUUAUGAAAGACGAACUUCUGCGAAAGCAUUUGCCAAGGAUGUUUUCAUUGA